UACGUAGGGUGCGAGCGUUGUCCGGAAUUAUUGGGCGUAAAGGGCUCGUAGGCGGUUUGUCGCGUCGGGAGUGAAAACCAGGUGCUUAACACCUGGCUUGCUUUCGAUACGGGCAGACUAGAGGUAUGCAGGGGGAGAACGGAAUUCCUGGUGUAGCGGUGAAAUGCGCAGAUAUCAGGAGGAACACCGGUGGCGAAGGCGGUUCUCUGGGCAUGACCUGACGCUGAGGAGCGAAAAGUGUGGGGGAGCGAACAGG
rnacentral:rRNA from 1 species